ACUCCUACGGGAGGCAGCAGUGGGGAAUAUUGGACAAUGGGCGAAAGCCUGAUCCAGCCAUGCCGCGUGUGUGAAGAAGGUCUUCGGAUUGUAAAGCACUUUAUGCAGGGAGGAAGGGUUGUAAAUUAAUACAUUACUCUGUUGACGUUACCGACAGAAUAAGCACCGGCUAACUCUGUGCCAGCAGCCGCGGUAAUAC
rnacentral:rRNA from 1 species